GCCUGGGCGGCUCAGUCAGUUAAGCAUCUGACUUUGGCUCAGGUCAUGAUCACUUAGUUUGUGAGUUCAAGUCCCACAUCAGGCU
rnacentral:tRNA from 1 species